ACAAACGCUGGCGGCGUGCCUAAUACAUGCAAGUUGAACGCAACAAAGACACCAGAGCUUGCUCUACCGUUUUUGUUGAGUAGCGAACGGGUGAGUAACGCGUGGGUAACCUGCCUUAUAGCGGGGGAUAACUAUUGGAAACGAUAGCUAAUACCGCAUAACAAUAGAGAUUGCAUAAUCUUUAUUUGAAAGUGCCAACUGGUACACUAUGAGAUGGACCCGCGUUGUAUUAGCUAGUUGGUAGUGUAAUGGACUACCAAGGCGAUGAUACAUAGCCGACCUGAGAGGGUGAUCGGCCACAUUGGGACUGAGACACGGCCCAAACUCCUACGGGAGGCAGCAGUAGGAAAUCUUCGGCAAUGGACGAAAGUCUGACCGAGCAACGCCGCGUGAAUGAAGAAGGUUUUCGGAUCGUAAAACUCUGUUGUUAGAGAAGAAUGUUGAUUAGAGUGGAAAAUUAAUCAAGUGACGGUAUCUAACCAGAAAGGGACGGCUAACUACGUGCCAGCAGCCGCGGUAAUACGUAGGUCCCGAGCGUUGUCCGGAUUUAUUGGGCGUAAAGCGAGCGCAGGUGGUUUAAUAAGUCUGAUGUAAAAGGCAGUGGCUCAACCAUUGUGUGCAUUGGAAACUGUUAGACUUGAGUGCAGUAGAGGAGAGUGGAAUUCCAUGUGUAGCGGUGAAAUGCGUAGAUAUAUGGAGGAACACCGGUGGCGAAAGCGGCUCUCUGGACUGUCACUGACACUGAGGCUCGAAAGCGUGGGUAGCAAACAGGAUUAGAUACCCUGGUAGUCCACGCCGUAAACGAUGAGUGCUAGUUGUUUGGGGCUAUCCAGCCCUAAGUGACGCAGCAAACGCAUUAAGCACUCCGCCUGGGGAGUACGACCGCAA
rnacentral:rRNA from 1 species